GAUGAAGAACGUAGUGAAAUGCGAUACUUGGUGCGAAUUGCAGAAUCCCGUGAACCAUCGAGUUUUUGAACGCAAGUUGCGCCCGAAGCCGUUAGGCCGAGGGCACGCCUGCCUGGGUGUCACACAUCGUUGCCCCAAUGCCAAUCGCCUCACUUUGUAGGUAUUUGCUUGGGGUGAAUGUUGGCCUCCCGUGAGCUUUGUCUCACGGUUGGUUGAAAAUCGAGUGCAUGGUGUCGGGUGUACCAUGAUGGAUGGUGGUUGAGUGAUGAUGCUCGGGACCAAUCAUGGGUAACUCCACCAGAAUUGGGCUCGGUGACCCACAUGCGUCCCUUGGAUGCUCCCUAAGGAGACCUCAGGUCAGGCGGGGCUACCCGCUGAGUUUAAGCAUAUCAAUAAGCGGAGGA
rnacentral:misc_RNA from 1 species